rnacentral:rRNA from 1 species
UACGUAGGGACCGAGCGUUGUCCGGAAUCAUUGGGCGUAAAGAGCGUGUAGGCGGCCAACUAAGUCCUGCGUGAAAUCUCGGGGCUCAACCCCGAGCGGUCGUGGGAAACUGGUUGGCUAGAGUGUGGCAGAGGGGGGUGGGAAUUCCACGUGUAGCAGUGAAAUGCGUAGAGAUGUGGAGGAACACCGAUGGCGAAGGCAGCCCCCUGGGUUAACACUGACGCUCAGGCACGAAAGCGUGGGGAGCAAACAGG